AAAUUUUUUGAAUAAGACGAAUGAUCAAACAUGUGAGAAAAAGUUAACGGCGUCGUCUAUUAAAAACGGAGGUAGUAUGUAUGCCCAACCGUUAAUAAUUAAUCUAUUUAGCAAGUUGCAUGCAUGUGCAACCCAUUGAUCGACCCCAUAUCAUGCAUAUGCAUGCCUAAUGUGGCAGUGCAAUCAAGAGGGGCCGACCCAAACCAUGCAUCUGAAUUAAUCUUUCUUCUUUUCUUGUAUGUUUUUUUUUCUUUUGCUGUUGUUGCCAGAUCUUUCUUCUCUGUCUAUCAGUCAAAUGCCCUGUGCAUAAAUACAUACUCCUCUUUCCGUUUCAAAAAAAAAAACUAGUUCUAACUAUAAAUCUGGACAUUAUAAUGGUAUGGUUCCAAUUUUCCUUUUUUUUUUAAGGGAGUAGAUCAUACGUUGCAUCUGUAGCUCAAUUUGAUGUUCCCCCGUGUGGGUCUCGAUCGUCUCAGGUUCAGGAAUUCAGAUCGACGUACAUAUCAUAUGGCCCUACACGGCAGCCUGCCAAGUCGGUAGGUAGGUAGGUAGCCAGCAAUCGAGUUGAUCGAUCGAUCGAUCGAUCAAGCAUUUGAGCGUGCAUGCGGUGCAGUCGUGCAUCUAGCAUGUGUGCGUGUGUGUCAGUGUGUGAAAUGGCCAAAUGCUGCUUGCAACAACAAUGCAUCAAGUUACGGAUUUAGGUCUUUUUCGUGGGGUUGACUGAUCCCACAGUUUUUUAAAAAACAUCCUAUAAACCUUAAUUUUUAGAUAUAAAUAAAAAAAUAAAGAAAUAACGUACUCCAAUAUAAACCACUAGUAAUUGAUCUCAUAUGUUUUAAUUCCCCGCCACUUUAUACACGAAUCGCGCCGGGUGGCUGUGGAUUGGAUUAACUGAACUACGGCCGUCCCUGUAACCCCCGCACGCGCGCGUGUACUGUUAACUUAUCUACCUAGCUGUAGCUAUUUGGCUUCCAACUGCAACAUGGAGUGUUUGCUAUGCUAUGGAACGCCCAAAUAUUUAAAGCUGCUAGCUACCUAUACAUAUUCAUUCAAGUAUAAUGUGUAGUACUAGUACUAAUGCUUAUUUGUUUUCUUCAAUUCCAAACCUUAAAUUUCUUGCUUUUCAAACUGUUAAAUGAUGUAUUUGUUAUAAAAAAAUUAUAUAGAGGUUGUUUAAAAAAUAAAAAAAUCAUUUUCAAGUUUAUAUAAUUAUUAAUACUUAAUUAAUAAUAUCUUAAUGAUAUUUCCCAUUUCGCGUGCACUGAAAAACUCUCUCCAACUUCUGGAAAGAACGCAGCAUUAAGAAACAGAUAUAAUUCAAAACCUUAGGGAUAAACGCAAGCUAUAUAUUCUUUUUUUUUAAGAACAACGCAAGCUAUAUACUCGAUCAGAUCAUAUCAAACUAGGCGGUUACGACGUUGGAUAUAUACUUCAUAUCCUAGCUACUCGAUCUAGCGGUUGAAAACAAUUCAUUGGCUUCUGUCGGGGUUAAACUGCUGAACAUCCUUCGUGCUAAUUACUAUUGUAUACAUCUAUAUAUUCUACAAAUUAAUAAAUGUAAACAGUGAGAGUACUUCUCACUCAUGCACACACACAUAUAUAUUUUUUACUACAGUUAGCUGUGCACAAAGAACACAUGUGCAAUAUAGAUCAAUGAAUAGCCAUUUCACUAUGGACGAAGACUGGAUGCAUGACACUCGUGAUCGACUGUUUUUACAUGGAUAUGGAUCAGUCAGUAAUUUCUUCUCGUUGUAUAAUAACUAGGGAUAAAACGAAACUAAAGUGAAACUUAACGGGCAUUGCCAGGGGUAGAGUCGUAAAUAAAAAGAUGGGCAGCAGCAGCAGGAGAGAGAGAGAGAGAGAGGUCAGCAUUGGAGUGGGCAGAAGUAGUACGCCAGACAUUGGGUACACUAGCAUCUCCGUGGUGGGCCCUUGUGUUCCCCGGCCCAUCAACCUCUCUCUCUCUCUCGAUCGCCUUCGCCUUCACUUCACACGCCCAAACUGUGAAGCUAAGCUAAGCUUCUCCGCUUCUCCAUCUCAUUGCCCUGUAGCUUUCGCCUCCCUCUUCCAGCUAGCGUUGCUUGUUUCCAUUUCCUCUCUCUCUCUCUCUCUCUCCAGCUAGCCUAUCUCUCUCUAUAUCAAUCUCGAUCUCCAUGCCAUUGCACUCGAGCAGGCUCAGCUACCUCCUUAUAAACCCCAGGCUAGCACCUAACUAUAAUACCACUAUACACUUAGCUUAGUGUUUACCUAGCUAGCUAGCAGCUGGCUGCAACAAACAUUCUGCAUGCACUUUGAAUUCUAGAGAUAGGAGAGUUAAUUAGAUAGCUUAGCUACCACAAUGCAUGCGUGCAACCUGAUAGCUUAGCUACGCGUAGUUGCCAAUUCAACCGGCCGACAUAUAUAUCGGCCUGAGGAAACUAGUGGAGGACUCCAAAGGGAUCGCAUUGAUCUGGCUAGCUAUCUCGAUCGAUCGCCUCAUCGAUCGACGACGACGUGCGUGAUCGAUCAGUGCAAUCCCUUUGGAAUUUUCCUCUUGCUUCCGCCUCCUCAUCUUCCUUGAUCGAUCGAUCCUUUGCCUGCUGGACGCGCUUGCCUGCCGGCUUGCUUCUUCCAUCGCCGCCUUGAUCAAUCCGCAAGCUGCUCCAGAUUCAGGAGUUAAAUCGAAGCCCAACGCUAGCACACAGUGCAAGAAGGUCUUUUGACAGACAGGGUAAAACAUAUAGAGUCCCGAGUCCCGACAAGUUCAGUUUAUGACGAUGGAAUCAAUCAAAGGAAUAUGGUUCGCACGGCUGAAUCGCUGAACCACUCUGAAAUCUGAGGGCGUGUUUGCUUGCUGCCCUCAGAUUCGCGCCCGGCUCAUGCGUCGAUCUCAGGCGUCCGAUUUCGGUCGCCUGCGGUCGGAUCGACCUGCCUGAGCAAUGGUCUCCAGGCGAGGGCAGCAACCAAACAGCCCCUGAAUACCUGGCUAGCUAAGGUUUCUGAUCUAUUCUGGCUGAUCAGUGUCCAUUUUCUUUCGUCCAUAAGGCCGAGUGCAGAACAACUUGUAUAUAUAUAUUUAUGUGUUGAUCUGGUAAUUCAAUGUAGUAGCAAAGAGGCAAUUGAGGAUUCUGCACACACGCAUCUACUGUAGCAGAAUACUGAUGUCUUUUAUGUAAUCCUGUCAAAGUUACUAGUAAAAUUUUCUUUCAGAGAGGAAAAUCUCAAAAGAUUUCUCAGCCGCUGGCCCCUGGGAUGCAGUAUUUCCUGGCGGAAUUUUGAAGCCCAUGAGGCAGUGAAGCCCAGGCACGCCUUGUAUGCAGGGCCUGAUGGCAUGGCGAAUUACAAGGCCCAUGAGAGAUCUGGGCUGUUCGACCUUAGUUAGCGGCAGGGCUUGAUGGGCCUACAUAAAGCCUCGACUUUGGCGGCCCA